rnacentral:lncRNA from 1 species
AGAGUUCGCGACCAUGGGGUCCAUCCCCGAUCCUGGCGAGUUGAGCGAGUUGACUCAGCCGAGCUUCGACGAGUUCCAGCGCCAAACCUCUCUCAUGACAAGCUGCACCCUCCUCUGGAAGGAACUCUCUGACCACUUUUCCUCUCUCGAGGAGGACCUCAAGCACAAAUCCGAAGCUCUGAAACGCAAGAUGCGCACGCUCGACACCGCCACCUCUGACUCUCUCCGCCUCCUUGACCGCCGCGAAACAUCCCUCGACGCCACUCUCCAGAUCGCCCUCCGCACGCUCGACACGCGCCGCACCGCCGCCAUAACCUCUUUCCUUGACGACCACGCGGACGAAGACGGCGGCGAGGUUGACGACGCCACCGGCCUCGUCCUCAAACUCAAGUCCUUCUGCCUACGCAUGGAUGCCUUGGGCUUCUGGACCUUCCUCAGCGCCAAGAAGAAGGAGCUCGAUGGCUUACGCGCCGAGGUCCCCGUCGCCCUCGCAGAAUGCGUCGAUCCGGCCAAAUUCGCCCUCGAGGCCAUCUCCGAGGUCUUUCCGGUCGACAAGAGAGGGGAAAAGCCCGGCCACGACCUAGGCUGGGCCUGCGUCCUUGUACUGGAGUCUCUGAUUCCGGUCGUCGUCGACCCUGUCAUCGGAAAAUCGAGGCUGUUGGUCACCCCCACCGUGAAGGAGCAGGCCACGGAGAUAGCGGAGACUUGGAAGGCCAGCCUAGAGGAGCGUGGCGGCGCGGAAAACGUGAAGACACCUGACGUCCACACCUUCUUGCAGCACGUGGUUACCUUCGGGAUUGUCAAGAACGAGGACUUGGAUUUGUACCGGAAGCUUGUUAUUGCUUCCGCUUGGAGGAAACAGAUGCCAAAGCUCGCGCUUUCGCUUGGUCUUACUCAGCAAAUGCCUGGUAUAGUCACAAUUACGCCGCAAAUUGAUUUUGUCGAUUUGUUAUUUGCUUGCUGAAAGUGUUGUGUUUGCGUUGAUUGUUUUUAGAUAUGAUUGAAGAGUUGAUCAGCAAAGGGCAGCAGCUUGAUGCAGUUCAUUUUACAUAUGAGGUGGGUCUUGUGGACAAGUUCCCUCCUGUUCCCUUGUUGAAGUCUUUUCUCAAGGAUGCUAAGAAAGUUGCGGCUUCUAUUUUGGAAGAUCCUAACAAUGCAGGCCGAGCAGCGGUAUUUUUCCCAUUUUGUUUUUAAUGUCUUUGUUUUUGUGUUUUGGUUUGGUUUAGUUCUUGAACGAGUAAAACUUUUCGAGAAACAUUUGUAUCAGAUGAAAAUAACAGGGUAAAAAGAAGUUUAGUUAUUUUCUAAGCUCAACAUCUGAAGAAGUGGAGAAAUUAAAUGUGAGAACUUUUAUGAGAAUUAAGUUUAACUCUUAAGGAAGUGAAGUAGUUUAAUUCAUAAAACAGAAGUUAGCUGUAGCUCAUAAGGAAGUAGUUUAAUUCAUAAAACAGAAGUUAGCUGUAGCUAAGGAAGUAGUUUAAUUCAUAUUAUUUCGUUCAUUUAGAAAAGCUUAUGGAGUAGUUUAUCCAAACCAGCCCUUACUAGGUCAACGUGCAGAGGCUGAACUGUCUUUUCUUUUAUGCUUGACGAGUUUAUCUGUGAAUGUGUAGUCGGUAGUUUAUGCGCGUUUCUAUUUUUGGUUUAUUUUGUAUAGACAGAGGAUGCAGCUUUUUAGAAAGAAUAUGCCUAGGAUUCAGUUUUAGAUAGGAGAAGAGAGUGGUGAUAUCUUUCAGGUCUUAGUAUUCGUACUUGGUUAGACACUGAUCUGAUUUCUGAUCCUUCUCAUCUAUUUGUUUUGCUUCUUUGGUUAGUUGGAAGAAAAUAAAGGUCCGGAAAUGGUAAAAGCGCUCUAUUUGUGAAGUGUUGUUUUCUUGAGUUAUUAGAAGUGGUGGGUUUAAUAUAUUAACGAUCUUUUUGUUUUUUUCAUUGUUGAAUGAAAUUUGGCAGUACCUAGCUGCAAGGAAAGAGCAGUCUGCACUCAGGGCUGUGAUUAAAUGCAUUGAAGAAUACAAACUUGAGGCUGAUUUCCCUCCAGAAAAUCUGAAGAAGCGACUUGAACAGUUGGAGAAGGUGAAGACAGUGAAGACCGAGAAAAGGAAACCGGCUGCUGUUCCUGCCAAUAAGAGAACUCGAGCAAGCAACAGCAAUGGAGGUCCAAUGCCACCAGCCAAAGCUGGGCGUUUGACUAAUGCUUAUGUAUCAUCUUUCCCUGCUGCUCCUACAUUUGUUAGGUCUCCAUCACACGGGCAAUACCCAGCUGCUCUUCCACCAUACCCUUCCCCACCCCACAUGUAUGGCAGCAGAAGUCCCCCGGCAAAUCCUUAUGCUGCUUAUUCGCCUGAGCCUGCACCAGCUAUUGCAGGGUCUUAUCCAGCGGCUCCCAUGAAUUAUCCUGCAUAUGGUGGCUAUGGAAAUGUCUUGGCACCCACUUAUCAGCAGGCUUACUACCGAUAGAAAUGACAACCCUCGAAGAUGGUAACCACUGAUAUGACGACCUUGAUCCAAUUUACUUUCGCAAUGUUGUUUGUAAUCACUAACCGUUUAACGGUAGCA